rnacentral:rRNA from 1 species
GGGGGUCAUCCCGACUUACCAACCCGAUGCAAACUGCGAAUACCGGAGAAUGUUAUCACGGGAGACACACGGCGGGUGCUAACGUCCGUCGUGAAGAGGGAAACAACCCAGACCGCCAGCUAAGGUCCCAAAGUCAUGGUUAAGUGGGAAACGAUGUGGGAAGGCCCAGACAGCCAGGAUGUUGGCUUAGAAGCAGCCAUCAUUUAAAGAAAGCGUAAUAGCUCACUGGUCGAGUCGGCCUGCGCGGAAGAUGUAACGGGGCUAAACCAUGCACCGAAGCUGCGGCAGCGACGCUUAUGCGUUGUUGGGUAGGGGAGCGUUCUGUAAGCCUGCGAAGGUGUGCUGUGAGGCAUGCUGGAGGUAUCAGAAGUGCGAAUGCUGACAUAAGUAACGAUAAAGCGGGUGAAAAGCCCGCUCGCCGGAAGACCAAGGGUUCCUGUCCAACGUUAAUCGGGGCAGGGUGAGUCGACCCCUAAGGCGAGGCCGAAAGGCGUAGUCGAUGGGAAACAGGUUAAUAUUCCUGUACUUGGUGUUACUGCGAAGGGGGGACGGAGAAGGCUAUGUUGGCCGGGCGACGGUUGUCCCGGUUUAAGCGUGUAGGCUGGUUUUCCAGGCAAAUCCGGAAAAUCAAGGCUGAGGCGUGAUGACGAGGCACUACGGUGCUGAAGCAACAAAUGCCCUGCUUCCAGGAAAAGCCUCUAAGCAUCAGGUAACAUCAAAUCGUACCCCAAACCGACACAGGUGGUCAGGUAGAGAAUACCAAGGCGCUUGAGAGAACUCGGGUGAAGGAACUAGGCAAAAUGGUGCCGUAACUUCGGGAGAAGGCACGCUGAUAUGUAGGUGAAGUCCCUCGCGGAUGGAGCUGAAAUCAGUCGAAGAUACCAGCUGGCUGCAACUGUUUAUUAAAAACACAGCACUGUGCAAACACGAAAGUGGACGUAUACGG